GAUGAACGCUGGCGGUAUGCUUAACACAUGCAAGUCGAACGGACUCUUCGGAGUUAGUGGCGGACGGGUGAGUAACGCGUGAGAAUCUGGCUUUGGGUUCGGGACAACCACUGGAAACGGUGGCUAAUACCGGAUGUGCCGAGAGGUAAAAGAGAAAUUGCCUGAAGAUGAGCUCGCGUCUGAUUAGCUAGUUGGUGAGGUAAAGGCUCACCAAGGCAGCGAUCAGUAGCUGGUCUGAGAGGAUGACCAGCCACACUGGGACUGAGACACGGCCCAGACUCCUACGGGAGGCAGGAGUGGGGAAUUUUCCGCAAUGGGCGAAAGCCUGACGGAGAAAUACCGCGUGAGGGAAGAAGGCUCUUGGGUUGUAAACCUCUUUUCUUAGGGAAGAACAAAAUGACGGUACCUAAGGAAUCAGCAUCGGCUAACUCCGUG
rnacentral:rRNA from 1 species